rnacentral:lncRNA from 1 species
AGCUAUCAUCCUUUUCAAGCAUAUUUAAUCCUUUUUUAUCUUCAGCUUUUGCCCAUGGAUUCAUUAGUGAGGUGAAUAUCUUUUCCACUUAUUAGUGUUUUGUAGUUUGGUUUUAUUUUACAUAGUAUUGAUGCUGAAUCUUUUUAGCAAAAUUAUUGGUUGUUUGGUUGAAUCUGUUUUUGUGCUUUUAACAGCUGUUCCAGGUGUGUUUUUCCUAUUUCCUUCAGAUGGGAGGUNNNNNNNNNNNUGUUUUGGUUUUUUGGUUUUUUUUUUUUUUUAUAAUUUUUGUGGUUUUGUGUUACUUAUUGGGAUUUAAAGUUGUAUACUAUGUUUUAUGCUGUGUUGUAUAUACCAUGAAGAUUGCAAUUUAUUUAUUUUUUAGUUUUCAAUUUUCGCAGAAUUUUCCGAGAGAUUAUUCGAGGAAUUGUUUGUUGAGAUCUGAUAAUACUAUAUAUAUGUUGGAAAUGUCUUCUGGAAGAGUUUAUAAAUCUGCAAUUUUGACUUCUUCAAAGAACGAAGAGGACAGAUUUAUUUAUUCGGGUUGGAAGAGAUUCGUGAAAGAAAAUAGACUGAGUUACAAAGACAAGGUUAUUUUUUAUGCUAGAAAUGGAGAUAAUCGUUUGGAAGUGCAGAUUAUACGUCGACCAAUUUCAUUCGGUAUUCCUGAUUGAAUGUAUUAAUGUUUAAAAUUUCAAUUUUUCUGUUGGUUUUCAUUAAUAAUUGUGUAAUAUUAAAAACUAUUUAAUUAUAUUGUUGUGUUUUUAAUUUCAAUUGUAUGUUUUUUUUCUUUGGUGGUUUGUUAUUGCUGAUUGAAUAUUUGUUUAAUAUGUAUUUAGAAUUAAAUUCUGAUUUAGAUUAUAGUCUGUUGUAUUUGUUAUUUAUUUUAAAACUUAUUAUCUUAAAAUUUCAAAUUAUAA